rfam:Fonticula alba strain ATCC 38817 unplaced genomic scaffold supercont2.2, whole genome shotgun sequence.
UUAGCUUUCUUGCUUCGGCUAAGAUCAAGUGUAGUAUCUGUUCUCUUUAGGUUAAUACCUAAAGUAAAGUCAAUAUGACUUUAUUGGUAUUUUCCCUAUAUUUGAGGCGUGAACCACUUGGCUUCGUGCCAGGUGGAUCGCAGGUGGUCGUGGAAUCCGCACUAGCUCCAUGCACUGCCUUGCAUCA